CCUACGGGAGGCAGCAGUGAGGAAUAUUGGUCAAUGGGCGCGAGCCUGAACCAGCCAAGUCGCGUGAAGGAUGACUGCCCUACGGGUUGUAAACUUCUUUUAUAAAGGAAUAAAGUGAGCCACGUGUGCCUUUUUGUAUGUAUUUUAUGAAUAAGCAUCGGCUAACUCCGUGCCAGCAGCCGCGGUAAUACGGAGGAUCCGAGCGUUAUCCGGAUUUAUUGGGUUUAAAGGGAGCGUAGAUGGGUUGUUAAGUCAGUGGUGAAAGUUUGUGGCGCAACCGUAAAAUUGCAAUUGAUACUGGCAGACUUGAGUAUAGUUGAGGUAGGCGGAAUGCGUGGUGUAGCGGUGAAAUGCAUAGAUAUCACGAAGAACGCCGAUUGCGAAGGCAGCCUACUAAACUGCCACUGACAUUGAUGCACGAAAGCGUGGGGAUCAAACAGGAUUAGAUACCCUAGUAGUC
rnacentral:rRNA from 1 species